rnacentral:rRNA from 1 species
UACAGAGGGUGCAAGCGUUAAUCGGAAUUACUGGGCGUAAAGCGCGCGUAGGUGGUUCGUUAAGUUUGAUGUGAAAUCCCCGGGCUCAACCUGGGAACUGCAUCCAAAACUGGCGAGCUAGAGUAUGGUAGAGGGUGGUGGAAUUUCCUGUGUAGCGGUGAAAUGCGUAGAUAUAGGAAGGAACACCAGUGGCGAAGGCGACCACCUGGACUGAUACUGACACUGAGGUGCGAAAGCGUGGGGAGCAAACAGG